UGUCGAGACCUAAUUAGGCGUGAACUAAAAAAACGAUUUAUCUGACUUCUUGAUAUAAGCACCAUACAUGUCUAAUAAUUGAAGAUGAAGAAGACGAGGCGCCUGGUUCUGGAGAAAUAUGAUCGAUGAUUAACUUCCUUAUGUCUGAAUCGUUUCUUCUAGUAUCCUUUUAUUCUCCUAAAUAUUUUCUUCUAAUUUCCUGUUAAUCCUUUCAAAUUUUAAGAACAUUGUGAAUUGCUUAAGUUUCAAACGGUCCUCCAAUGCUCUAAUCUCUAAUCAGUGUCCUGAAGGGGUGAUUGAAUUAAUCGGUCCUCCUAAAGACCUAAUCAAUUUUCUUAUAUAGCUUAGUGGUGGAGUGAAGUAAUUGAUCAAAGUUGUAGUCUUCUUGAUCCAAAAUUGCUAUAAGAUUCAUCAAUUUUUUAGGUUGUCAGAUUGAGAUUAUGGAUAGCCAACUUCAGCUUGUAUCAUUCUUUGGUUUUACUAUAUCUUUGUUUAGGUUGUCAGAUUGAGAUUAUGCAAAUGAAAUGGACAUGUAUCCCAAUAUGUUGGUAGCAUAUAAUCUAUUUUUGUUGGUACCAGUCA